CAUUAUCCACUCGUCAAGAUCCAAAAUUGAAAUUUAUUUCAAGAAAAAGAAGGAAAAUAAUUUUUGAAAAACUAAAAGAAGCAAAGAAGAAGAAGAAGUGAGGCAUAAAAGCUGACAAUGCCAGCCAAAAGACCGGUGGAGACGAGCCAAAUCUCGAGGAGCCAUCGCCGCGAGCGACAGCGACUAGGGAGCCGUGGGGUCUAGUGGCUAGGGCUACAACGGCGGCGGGCUUCGACUCCACUUAGCUGAUUCGAUGAACG
rnacentral:lncRNA from 1 species